rnacentral:rRNA from 1 species
GUGUCAGCAGCCGCGGUAAUACAGAGGGUGCAAGCGUUGUUCGGAUUUACUGGGCGUAAAGCGCGUGUAGGCGGUGGCGUAAGUCGGAUGUGAAAUCCCUCGGCUUAACCGAGGACGUGCAUCCGAUACUGCGUCACUUGAGUGCCGGAGGGGAUGGCGGAAUUCCCGGUGUAGAGGUGAAAUUCGUAGAUAUCGGGAGGAACACCUGUGGCGAAGGCGGCCAUCUGGACGGUAACUGACGCUGAGACGCGAAAGCGUGGGUAGCAAACAGGAUUAGAUACCCUGGUAGUCC